rnacentral:rRNA from 1 species
UACGUAGGGGGCAAGCGUUGUCCGGAUUUAUUGGGCGUAAAGAGCGUGUAGGCGGCCAUACAGGUCAGCUGUGAAAACUCGAGGCUCAACCUCGAGACGUCGGUUGAAACCGUAUGGCUAGAGUCCGGAAGAGGAGAGUGGAAUUCCUGGUGUAGCGGUGAAAUGCGCAGAUAUCAGGAAGAACACCUAUGGCGAAGGCAGCUCUCUGGGACGGUACUGACGCUGAGACGCGAAAGCGUGGGGAGCGAACAGG